AUACGAUUUCAAGGGAGAUAAUCUAAUAUCUAUGAAUAAAUUAUCAAGUGAUUGGACUCUUAUCUCCCUUUAAAACUUCAAGAAAACAUAUUCUAGAGAAUAAAUAUAUUUCUUUGAGUGUUUUAAAUAUUGAUUUAAAGACAACUCUGUACUAUCUACAGAACAUUUUUAAAAAAUAUCUAAAGAGAUUAAUUUGAAAACGUUAAAUUGGACAUUAUUAUAGAAAUUCAAAUAAAAUGCUUCGCUGGGGCACAGCUUGAUACGACCGCAGAGGUCAAACCCUGAACAGUUGGGGAAAGUUUGGACACAAUAUUCAAGCUUGAUACUGUCUGAAUUUGGAGUGUGAUCAAAUUUUUGACAUAAUAUAGGUUUGACAAAAAAUAAAUGUGGUCAAAGAUCUUAAAAAUUUGAAAUGGGACAUUUAAUUUACCUAGAAUGGUCUAAUAUCCAAAAUCUAACAACAUGGUUAGAUUCAGCAUAUAAAAAAACACCAAAAAUUUAAUUUUAAUUGAAAUCAAACAAAGUUUAAUUUUGGACCCUUCAAACCUUACCCGGUAAUAUGGACUAAUUUGAAAACAGGGCCCUUUUGACCUCAAUGUAGACGAAUUUAAAAAUGGGGCCCAAUACCAAAAUAGUUAAACAAGGUUAGAACCCCCAAAAUUAAAGACUUUAAAUUAAUCCCAUUGAAAUUGGUUAAAAGAUUUGUAUUUAUUUUCAAUUGAAGAUUUCUUGCUAUUGCGCAAUACUGUGCAAUUGAAGAUUAC